ensembl:rRNA 5S_rRNA 5S ribosomal RNA
AUCUAUGGCCAUACUAUCCUGAACACGUUCUGUCUCGUCUGAUCUUGGAAGCUAAGUAGGGCCAGGCCUGGUUAGUACUUGGAUGGGAGACCACCUGGGAAUCCCGGGUGCUGUAUUUU